rnacentral:rRNA from 1 species
GACGAACGCUGGCGGCGUGCUUAACACAUGCAAGUCGAACGGAAAGGCCCUGCUUUUGUGGGGUGCUCGAGUGGCGAACGGGUGAGUAACACGUGAGUAACCUGCCCUUGACUUUGGGAUAACUUCAGGAAACUGGGGCUAAUACCGGAUAGGAGCUCCUGAUGCAUGGUGGGGGUUGGAAAGUUUCGGCGGUAGGGGAUGGACUCGCGGCUUAUCAGCUUGUUGGGGGGGUAUUGGCUUACCAAGGCUUUGACGGGUAGCCGGCCUGAGAGGGUGACCGGGCACAUAGGGACUGAGAUACGGCCCAGAAUCGUACGGGAGGCAGCAGUGGGGAAUAUUGCACAAUGGGCGGAAGCCAGAUGCAGCAACGCCGCGUGCGGGAUGACGUCCUUCGGGUUGUAAACCGCUUUCGCCUGUGACGAAGCGUGAGUGACGGUAAUUGGUAAAGAAGCACCGGCUAACUACGUG